rnacentral:rRNA from 1 species
UUUAGCCUACGGGGGGCAGCAGUGGGGGAUAUUGCACAAUGGGGGGAACCCUGAUGCAGCGACGCCGCGUGGGUGAAGAAGCGCCUCGGCGCGUAAAGCCCUGUCAGCAGGGAAGAAAAUGACGGUACCUGAAGAAGAAGCCCCGGCUAACUCCGUGCCAGCAGCCGCGGUAAUACGGAGGAUGCGAGCGUUAUCCGGAUUUAUUGGGUUUAAAGGGUGCGCAGGCGGCCUGUUAAGUCAGCGGUAAAAGCCCGGGGCUCAACCCCGGCGAGCCGUUGAAACUGGCGGGCUGGAGUUGGAGAGAA